GGGAAAGUGGCUCAGUGGUAGAGUGCUUGUCUUAUAUGCAUGAGGCCCUGGGCUCAAUUUCUCAGCACCA
rfam:Dipodomys ordii contig_15254, whole genome shotgun sequence.